AACGGAUCACAUGUCUGGGUUCUACUCUGGAAAGGCAUCUUGGAAACCUGGAAGAGAAGAGGGGCUAGGCGGUGCGAGAGGAAGAUGUAGCUAAGACAGUCAUUCUGAUCAAAGCUCAAUUUUACUAUUCCGACACGCAGUUAUGAAGGAGGGGAAGGGGGCCCAAUUCCCGCCAAAUAAUCCUGGAGUCCAGUAGCAGGGUGACCACGUGUAUGGCUCCGGAACAGCAAAGCAGCAGGCUCCAGCAGUGGGCAUGGCAGAACAUUGAGAGGCAAGCUCCAUCCCAAUGUAAACAGUGGAACCUGAGCAGGGAGAGUUGGUUGGUCACAUUCAUGAAUAACAACAGGAGGAGGUAUGUGUUACUUUUAUAAACACACGGGCAAGGACACGCCACAAUCACGGAGCUGAUGAGAACCCAUUUUGAGGGAAAUUCCCCAAUGUCAUUGGAAACCAGACAGGAAAUGUCAAAGUGCUUUCCAUCCAGAAGUGGCAGAGAUGACAGCAGGAGGACACACAGCACAGGACUGGACUGCAGCUGCUGGUUCCUGCAUGGUGUCUGCCUACCGAGGACUGGACUGCAGCUGCUGACUUGCUACAGACUGAACCACUGGCAAAGAAAAUUGAGCUCCCCUCAAAGAACUACUGCUAAACAGGUGUUGUCACUAAAUCUGAAGCUCACUGAUUCAAAUAGGACAGCUGGCCAAAGAACUCCCAAGAUCCUCCUGUCUCUACCUGCUGCAGCCCCACAUUGUCCCCGCAGCAUGGGGAGUCAAGAUAC
rnacentral:lncRNA from 1 species